GGUAAAUUGGAUCCACUAUUGCAGAUUUCAGUUUGCCUAAAAUAAUUUUCUCUGCUGGAUGGAACAGAUUAUUACAAGAUCCUGUGUGUGUGAAUUCCUGGCCUGAUGGAUGCUCCGGACCAUUGCUAAA